rnacentral:rRNA from 1 species
UACGUAGGGGGCAAGCGUUGUCCGGAUUUAUUGGGCGUAAAGCGCGCGCAGGCGGCUAUUUAAGUCUGGUGUCUAAUACACGGGCUCAACCCGUGUUCGCAUUGGAAACUGAAUGGCUUGAGUGCAGAAGAGGAGAGCGGAAUUCCACGUGUAGCGGUGAAAUGCGUAGAGAUGUGGAGGAACACCAGUGGCGAAGGCGGCUCUCUGGACUGUAACUGACGCUGAGGCGCGAAAGCGUGGGGAGCAAACAGG